rnacentral:rRNA from 1 species
UCAGAUUGAACGCUGGCGGCAGGCCUAACACAUGCAAGUCGAGCGGGGUUUCGGACCUAGCGGCGGACGGGUGAGUAAUGCGUAGGAAGCUACCGAUAGAGGGGAUACCAGUUGGAAACGACUGUUAAUACCGCAUAAUGUCUACGGACCAAAGUGUGGGACCUUCGGGCCACAUGCUAUCGGAUGCGCCUACGUGGGAUUAGCUAGUUGGUGAGGUAAUGGCUCACCAAGGCGACGAUCUCUAGCUGGUUUGAGAGGAUGAUCAGCCACACUGGAACUGAGACACGGUCCAGACUCCUACGGGAGGCAGCAGUGGGGAAUAUUGGACAAUGGGCGCAAGCCUGAUCCAGCCAUGCCGCGUGUGUGAAGAAGGCCUUCGGGUUGUAAAGCACUUUCAGCGAGGAGGAAGAGUUGUGUGUUAAUAGUACACAGCUUUGACGUUACUCGCAGAAGAAGCACCGGCUAACUCUGUG